AACGAACGCUGGCGGCAGGCUUAACACAUGCAAGUCGAGCGCCCCGCAAGGGGAGCGGCAGACGGGUGAGUAACGCGUGGGAAUCUACCCGUCACUACGGAACAACUCCGGGAAACUGGAGCUAAUACCGUAUACGUCCUUCGGGAGAAAGAUUUAUCGGUGAUGGAUGAGCCCGCGUUGGAUUAGCUAGUUGGUGGGGUAAUGGCCCACCAAGGCGACGAUCCAUAGCUGGUCUGAGAGGAUGAUCAGCCACACUGGGACUGAGACACGGCCCAGACUCCUACGGGAGGCCGCAGUGGGGAAUAUUGGACAAUGGGCGCAAGCCUGAUCCAGCCAUGCCGCGUGAGUGAUGAAGGCCCUAGGGUUGUAAAGCUCUUUCACCGGUGAAGAUAAUGACGGUAACCGGAGAAGAAGCCCCGGCUAACUUCGUGCCAGCAGCCGCAGUAA
rnacentral:rRNA from 1 species